CAAAGGAAGAGCAAGUGGUUUGUAAGUUCCUGAGGAGUGUGUAACUAUGUGAUUCUACUUAGGAAAGUCGAACUGCCACCAGAUCCUGUGUUUCUUUUAAUAAGCUUAUUUCCAGGAAAUGAUGCUCAUGCAGCAAUAGCAGAGGCCCACUGAGGGCCCAGAAGAACAGCAGGACAUCAUUACCUUGUCCCCCAGGUAGGAGGUGGGUGCGACCCAGGACGCGCUGUGGAUGGUUGCGGGCAGCUCCUGGAGAUCCGCCACCAUACUGUUGCUGCCUGGGUUGAAAGAGACAGGGAUGUCCACUCUGUCUGCUGUCUCCAGGUGCCAGCCCAGCAUAUCCACAAACUGGAAAGAGGGAGAGAAGCAAGGGAUGGAAACGUCUUGGUCGUGGCAUCCCUGGGGUGAUGGGUGCAUGAUGUACUACAGAAAGCUCCACGGGCAGCCUCCUUGCCUCAGAGGCCUCCUUUAUGCGUCUACUCCUGCACCUGCCCUCCCGAGCCAGAGCCCCGUCUGACCCAUUGCCACUGGGAGUUCUGGGAAGGCAGUGGCCUUACAUGUGUGGGAUUUAUCUUUGUAACCCAGCACACAUCAUUGUUCUUGACAUUUAGUAGGUGAUCAAUGAGUGUUUGAAUAAUAAAGAAAUAAGUGUAUGAAUAAAAACUAGGACCAUGGCGCAUUUAAUGGCAAGCUCCUUAUAAAGAAAAAUGUGAUGUGGAAUUCAGUGGCCUGCUAUUAUUAUUUUUCUCUAAAUGGAGCAUCAAAAUUAAAUCUUUUCCUGGUCACAAAGGAAGCCAGUUAAUUUUGAGGUAAAAAAAAAAGAAAGAACUGAGCAAGCAUAGGAUUGGAUUAAUGCUUUCUGGUUCCCAGGGGAUAAGAGACUUCAGAGCAGAUUUACAAAGUAUUUUUUUUUUCCAAUUACUAGCUACACUCCUUUUAGGAGACAGGCAGUAAAAGAUAUGAAAUAGGCAGGCAGUAAAAUAUAUAAAAUAGUAUUUUUGGGGCCAGGUGCGGUGGGUCACAUCUGUAAUCACAGCACUUUGGGAGGCCGAGGUGGGUGGAUCACCUGAGGUCAGGAGUUCAAGACCUGUCUGGCCAACAUGGUGAAACCUUGUUUCUAUUACAUAUAAAAAUUAGCCGGGUGUGGUGGGGCAUGCCUGUAAUUCCAGCUACUCAGGAGCCUGAGGCAGAAGAAUCGCUUGAACCCGGGAGGCAGAGGUUGCAGUGAGCCAAGAUCAUGCCACUGCACUCCAGCCUGGGUGACAGAGCGACACUCCAUCUUAAAAAAAAAAAAAAAAAAUCUUUUUUUGAGUACUUGUUGGAUAUAAGACAUGACUCACACAAAGAAGGCAAGCAUGAGGUUACUGGUUCAUGGAAUAAUGAAAACAAGAAAAGUUUUAGUUUUAUGAAGUUAAUUUUAAAAAUGCCCAAAGAAGGCCGGGUGUGGUGGCUCACACCUGUAAUCCCAGCACUGUGGGAGGCCAAGGUGGGAGGACUGCUUGAGCCCAGGAGUUUGAGACCAGCCUGGGCAGCAUGGCAAAACCCUGACUCUACAAAAAAUACAAAAAUUAACCAGGUGUGGUGGUGCAUGCCUGUAGUCCCAGCUACUCAGGAGGCUGAGGCAGGAAGAUUGCUUGAGCCCUGGAAGCGAAGGUUGCAAUGAGCUGUGAUCACACCACUACACUCCAGCCUAGGCAACAGAGACCCUGUCUCAAAAAAAAAAAAAAAAAAAGAAAAGAAAAGUGACCAAAGAAAAGAUAUGAUAAAAUAGGUGAGAAGGAAAGCAAAACAGAAAGAAGAGAAGUAAAAAUGAGAAGUGAGGGGUGUGAUAUUGUGACAUAACAAGACAUCAUGAGAGAUGCGGAUUUGGCUAUUACUACCAGUUUCUGGCACAGAGCUCCUAAAACCCUUGUAAUUUCCUGAAUGAUAGGGGUGAUAGGAGCAUCUUUUGCCAUAGUAAUUGGUCUUAGUCCACAGUUCCUGAGGCCAGAGCUUCUAAGACCCUUGGACUCUGAUGUGGUAAUAGUGUCUCUUUGUGUGCUAAUGAGAUAAGUGGUGGCUGAGUCCUCUGGGUAGCUUCAGGAUGGGGGCUUGUAGCCAGGAAGACCAAGGUAGGAUGAGAGGGUUGGGACUUUCAGCCCUACCCCCAACCUCUGAGGAAGGGAGAGGGACUAGAGAUUGAGUUAAUUAUCAAUAGCUAAUGAUUUAAUCAAUCAUGCCUACAUGAAAGAGCCACCAAAAAACAAACAAACAAACAAAAAACCCUAAAUGGUAGUUUGGGAGAGCUCCUGGGUGGGUAAACACGUCUGCAUGCCAGGAGGAUGGUGCGCCCUAACUCCCAUGCCUGGAACCCUCUGGAC
rnacentral:lncRNA from 10 species